CCCUAAAUAUGCUUACAAGGUAGGCAUUUAUAGGACAACCCUAUCAUAGUUCUGCCACCACUUAAGGUAAUAGAACCAUGAUUUUAGGGAUUACAUAAUCAACUCAUAUCCUAUCUAUUCAAACCUGAUUGAUCAUAAGCAAUAAAAUCCCAUAAUCAUGGGAGGUAAUAUCUCUCAUGAUCAUGGGAGAUAAUUAUGGAAGAUAAUAUCUCCCAUAAUCAUAGGAGAUAAUAUCUUCGACACCCCCCCUCAAGUUGGUGCAUAUAUAUUUAUCAUGUCCAACUUGCUUGUAAGAAAUUCAAAAUUGGGUCUGAGGAGUCCUUUGGUGAGAAUGUCAGCUAUCUGCUGAGCUGAUGGAACGAAUGGCAUGCAGAUAAUUCCUCCUUCAAGUUUCUCUUUUAUGAAGUGGCGAUCAAUCUCAAUAUGUUUGGUUCUAUCAUGUUGCACAGGAUUAUGAGCUAUGCUAAUUGCCGCCUGGUUAUCACAAUAGAGCUUCAUUGGAAGUUCAAUAGGUCUUUUCAGCUCCUCUAAAACUCUCUUCAGCCAUAACAUCUCACACACACCAUGAGCCAUAGCUCGGUACUCUGCUUCUGCACUACUACGAGCUACAACACUUUGUUUCUUACUUCUCCAAGUAACCAAAUUGCCCCAUACAAAGGUACAAUACCCCGAGGUUGAUCUUCUAUCAAUCACUGAUCCUGCCCAAUCAGCAUCUGUAUAAGCUUCAAUGGUCUUUCGAUCUCCUCUUUUAAAAAACAAUCCCUUUCCUGGAGUACUUUUUAAGUACCUCAGAAUUUGAUAUACUGCAUCAAGGUGCUCUUCAUAUGGAGAAUGCAUAAACUGGCUCACAACACUCACUGAAAAAGCUAUAUCAGGACGAGUGUGAGCCAAGUAAAUUAGCUUGCCUACUAACUUUUGGUAUCGAGAAGUAUCAACUGGUGUUCCAUCUUUUAUAUCUGCUAACUUGUGAUUCGGAUCCAUAGGAGUGUCUGCAGGUCGACAUCCACUCAUCCCUGUUUCCUUUAAAAGAUCCAAAACAUACUUGCGUUGGGACACAACGAUGCCCUUCUUGGACCGAGCUACCUCCAUCCCUAAGAAAUAUCGUAGUGUUCCCAAAUCUUUGAUUUCAAAGCUAGAAGCAAGACUUUUCUUCAGCCGUUCCAUCUCAAUUAAGUCAUCUCCUGUGAGGAUGAUAUCAUCCACGUACACAAUGAGUACUGCUAUCUUCCCGUCCUUGGAGUGUUUAACAAACAUGGUGUGAUCACUCUGAGCUUGGAUAUAGCCUUGAUCCUUCACCGACCUAGUAAAUUUUUCAAACCAGGCCCUAGGAGAUUGUUUGAGACCAUAUAACGAUUUUUUUAGCUUGCAAACUCUAGACUGAAACUUCCCUUCAAAUCCAGGGGGAGAAUCCAUGUACACCUCUUCCUCCAGAUCACCAUUUAAAAAUGCAUUCUUGACAUCAAGUUGUUGGAGUGGCCAAUCAAGAUUUACUGCUAUUGAGAGAAGCACCCUAAUAGUGUUUAAUUUUGCCACUGGAGCAAAAGUUUCAAGAUAAUCGAUCCCGUAGGUUUGAGUAAACCCUUUAGCCACCAAUCGAGCUUUGUACCGUUCCAAUGUCCCAUCGGAAUUAUACUUGAUGGUAAAGACCCAUUUACACCCUACCGUCUUUUUCCCUUGUGGCAGGUUUGUUACUUCCCAUGUUUGAUUCUUCUCAAGAGCAUACAUCUCUUCUUCAAUAGCCUUUCUCCACUCUGGAACUUGUAAUGCUUCCUGUACAUUCUUUGGAAUUUCCACAGAAGAAAGUUGUGAAGUAAAUGUCAAGAAGGUAGGGGAUAACUUUUCAUAAGAAACAUAGUUAGUCAUAGGGUGUUUGGUACAAGAACGCACUCCCUUUCGAAGUGCAAUAGGAAGAUCCAGAUCAGCAAUCUUUGAAUCAGAGGAAACUUUAUCUGAUGACUCAAAAACAUCAAAAACUGCCCUAGGUUCGGAUUCCUUGUUGUGAAGAGAAGGGGGAGCUUUAUCUUUUCCUCGAUGAUUUUUCCUGACAUAGGUUUUCAAGGUUUUUUCAGUUACAUUCCCAUCUCUUUCACUAAGAGAAUUCGACUCUGUUAUUGGCACUAAAGACAAGAGAUCCUCUUCUAAUCCAUGAUCAAUUUUUUCACGAUUUUCAAAAUCCUUUUUACGGGCAAAUUGAAGAGUGUCAUUUGAUUUUUCAGGAUUAUUAUCUUGAAAAGAUUCUUGUUGAGGAAAUGCUGCUGUAGAUUCUUCUAAAAAAUCAGAAAAAUCAAUUCUCCUAUCAACAAAAUUUUGAUCAGAAAUUUGAUUUUCAAUACGAAAAACAUCAUCAUCUUCUACAGGUUCUUCUACAUACCGAGUCCCCCCCUGAAGAGGAUCUCCAAAGAAAGGUUUAUCUUCAAAGAAUGUUACAUCCAUGGUUACAAACAUUUUUUUCGAAAUGGGGUCAAAGCAUUUAUACCCCUUUUGCGUGGGUGCAUAUCCAACAAAAAUGCAUUUUCUUGCUCGAGGGUCUAACUUACUUCGACCUUGUUCAUGAUUGUGAACAAAGGAUAUGCACCCAAACACCUUUAAUGAGACUUCAUAUGUUAAUCGAGACAUGGGAUAAAUGGUUUUGAAAAAAUUCAGAGGAGUUUGGAAAUUCAAGGUUCUUGAGGGCAUUCUGUUUAUGAGAUAUGUAGCAGUUAAAAUUGCUUCGCCCCAUAGAUAUUUAGGAACAUUUCUUGAAAAAAGUAAUGCCCUCGCCACUUCUAAAAGAUGUUUAUUUUUUCUUUCAGCUACCCCAUUCUGUUGUGGGGUAUCAUUGCAGGAGCUUUGAUGCACAAUCCCUUUUUCAAGAAAAAAACUUCCCAAAAUUUUAUUGAAAUAUUCUUUUCCAUUGUCACUCCGAACAAUUUUGAUUUUUUCUUGAAAUUGUGUCAAAACCAUGCUGUAGAAUUUUUGAAACACACUUGCAACCUCUGAUUUCUCUCUUAACAAAUACACCCAACAAACUCUUGUGUGAUCAUCGAUGAAUGUAACAAACCAUUUUUUUCCAGAUGAAGUUGAAAUUCUAGAGGGACCCCAAACAUCAGUGUGUAAUAGAAAAAACGGUUUUGAGGGUUGAUAAGGAUGUAUAGAAAAUGUAGACCGAUGAUGUUUAGCCAAUUCGCAGAUUUCACAUUGAAAGGAAGAUGAAUCUUUAUUCUUAAACAAAUCUGGAAAUAAGUAUUUCAUGUAAUAAAAACUAGGAUGUCCUAGUCUAAAGUGCCAUAACAUAAUCUCUUUAUUACUAGUAAUAGAGACAGACCCGUAACAUGUGUUUUUGAUUGGUGUUGUCAUAUUUGAUCCAUCUUCAAGGAAGUAAAGUCCCCCAUUUUCUCUAGCACAUCCAAUCAUCCUCCCCGUGGUCAGUUCCUGAAACUCACAAAAAGAGGGGAAAAAAUUAAUCCGACACAUGAGAUCCCUAGUUAAUUUACUUAUGGCCAGCAAAUUGCAUGAUAACUUUGGAACAUGAAGAACUCUAUGAAGUGUUAGAGUAGGAGAGAUGACAACGGAACCUAUGCCAGCUAUGACGGAUAAUGAUCCGUCAGCAACCUUGACCCUUUUAUUGCCUGCACAUGGACUGUAGGUAGAAAAUAAUUGUGACAAACUAGUCAUAUGGUCAGUGGCCCCAGAAUCAAUAACCCAUACAAUCCGUGGACAAGAUGCAUUUGAUGUUUUACAUGAAAGAGCAACAGUAAAAGGAUUACCAUUUUUAGCAAAAGAACAGAAAGGAGUGAAGCUUUUUGGCUCAGUGACUGAAAAUUGUGGAGACUUAAAGAGUUUGUACAGUUGGCUUAAUUGUUCCUUUGUGAAGGCUGGUGUCUCAGAGUCAAUUUGUUGCUUUUGAGAAUCCUCAUUCACAGUCUGCAACACCUUGCUAUCACCUCCAUUUUUCUUCUUGAAAUUCGAUGGUUUCCCAUGUAAUUUCCAGCACGUGUCCUUUGUGUGCCACGACUUUUUACAGUGUUCACACCAAGGCUUCCUUCUUUUAUCUCCGUCCAAAUCUGUCCCCUUAGAAACCAAUGCUGAAGUCUCAACUUCAUCCUCUGCCUUGGACUUUAGCAUCACCUUACGCCUUGAUUCUUCUCUUCUGACCUCAGAAAAUACUUCACGAAUGGAGGGGAGAGGCUUCCUGCCCAAAAUACGACCUCGCACCUCAUCAAGUUCUUGAUUUAGUCCGGCCAAGAAGACAUAGACUCUGUCGUUCUCCUCCCGUUUUUUGUAUCGAACACUGUCUGCACGGCAGUCCCAUUCAUCCUCAUAACAAAGAUCCAAUUCCUGCCAUAAAGUUACCAUCUGAUUGUAGUAGGUUGUAACAUCUCUAUCUUCUUGUCUUGAUUUCCACAAUUUCGUCUUGAGAUUGAAAAUUUGAGAUGAAUUCUCUAUAUCGGAAUACAUAUCCCGGACAGCGUCCCACACAUCCUUGGCUGUGGGCAGAAAUAAGUGUGGCUUUCCUAUCGAUAGAGUUUAUCAACCAAGCGAUAACUAGAGAGUUCUCUAAAUGCCAUCUCUUCAAAUUGGGAUCUUCAGCAGCUGGUUGUUGAAUUUCUCCAGUAAGGUGGCCGAGUUUACCUCUGCCAUCGAUAGCCAGUUUUACGGAUUGAGCCCAUUCCAGAUAAUUGGAACCAUUUAAUUUAUGAACGGUUAUUUGUAGGGAAGAAGAAUUUGAAGCGGAGUAAUCUGUAGUUUGGAUAACUACUGAAGACGAGGAUGAGUCUUCUCUUGUGUGAGCAGUCGAUCCAGUCAUGGCUGCUCGGUAGUUCAUGGCAGGGAUUGGUACAGAGCCGGAGCUCUGAUACCAUGUAAAUCUUUAAAAGAAAAGAAAAAUGAACAAAAAACUCUACUUUUCUUUAUUUUCCCACACCCUAAAUAUGCUUACAAGGUAGGCAUUUAUAGGACAACCCUAUCAUAGUUCUGCCACCACUUAAGGUAAUAGAACCAUGAUUUUAGGGAUUACAUAAUCAACUCAUAUCCUAUCUAUUCAAACCUGAUUGAUCAUAAGCAAUAAAAUCCCAUAAUCAUGGGAGGUAAUAUCUCUCAUGAUCAUGGGAGAUAAUUAUGGAAGAUAAUAUCUCCCAUAAUCAUAGGAGAUAAUAUCUUCGACA
rnacentral:lncRNA from 1 species